UCUGGUAAGAGAUUUGGGCAUA
rnacentral:miRNA from 1 species